rnacentral:rRNA from 1 species
GACGAACGCUGGCGGCGUGCUUAACACAUGCAAGUCGAACGAAGUGGCGAACGGGUGAGUAACGCGUAAUCAACCUGCCCUUCAGCGGGUGACAACAGUUGACAACGACUGCUAAUACCGCAUACUGAAGGAGGGCGUUGCGUCUGAUUAGCUAGUUGGAGGGGGAACGGCCCACCAAGGCGAUGAUCAGUAGCCGGUCUGAGAGGAUGAACGGCCAAAUUGGGAAUGAGAAACGGCCCAGACUCCUAAGGGAGGCAGCAGGGGGGAAUCUUCCGCAAUGGACGAAAGGCUGACGGAGCAAAGCCGCGUGAGGGAUGACGGCCUUCGGGUUGUAAAGCUCUGUUAAUCGGGACGCGGUACCGGAAUAGAAAGCCACGGCUAACUACGUGCCAGCAGCCGCGGUAAUAC